rnacentral:rRNA from 1 species
UACGUAGGGGGCAAGCGUUGUCCGGAUUUAUUGGGCGUAAAGGGCGCGUAGGCAGUUUCUUAAGUUUGGAGUGACAGUGGGUGGCUUAACUACCCAAGGCCUUUGAAAACUGGGGAACUUGAGGACCAGAGAGGGACAUAGAAUUCCGGGUGGAGUGGUGAAAUGCGUAGAUAUCCGGAGGAAUACCAAAGGCGAAGGCAGUGUCCUGGAGGGUGACUGACGCUGAGGCGCGAAAGCUAGGGGAGCGAACAGG